AGUCACUUUUUAUUUACUUGUUCUAACAUUCGAGUUUUUGAAGAAAUUAAUUUGUUAGCGACCUCCCACUUUAUUAAAAAACCUCAUAAGACCUCGGAAUGUAUUCCGAGGCAACAGUGACAGAAUGAUGUUAACUCUACUAAAGGAUCAAAGACAUCUCCUUGGUACAACAAGAAACGCAACAUCAAGAACUUGAGAAUUUUUGGACAAAGAGUUUUCUCAAAAAAUAAAAGAAACUAGAUGAGAGAGGUGAAGAAACAAUGUUUGUUGGAUAUACAGAUAAUAGUUAGUUACUGUAUCUGAAACAUUGAACAAAGAAAGAUAUUCUACAGUCAUGAUAUAACGUAAGAUGCCAGUGAGAUUUGGCGAUUACAUACUUGGAUUUGCUGAAGUACAAAAUAAA